GGCAGAGUAUGGCGUAAUGGUUUGAGUGUUGGACUAUGAUUCUGGAGACCAGGAUUCGAAUUCCAGUUUAGCCA